GGAAGACCUUUCUCUCUGUCUCUCUCUCUCUCUCACUGUCUAACUCUGCCUGUCAAAAAAUAAAAAAAAAAAAAAUAAAAAAAAAAUACCGGUUGAAAGUACUAUCUUGCAAAUGAAAUGAAAAGUAAAAGAAUAAAAAUAAACUAAAAAAGUAGGAAAAAAAGAAAGCCAAUUCAGACUCCAGGCUGUGAUCAGCCUUAGCCCUAGAAGAUAUUGUUAGCUAAUGUUCUGUAUAUGCUGUAUAUGCGCCAAAUAGCCUUGCCUCUGAGGAAUUUUUAAUUUGAAAAGAAGCCAGAGGAUAGCACAAUGCUGUCCUGUGGUUCAGAGACUGUGACAAUGUGAUGCUAUAUUUUGCAAGUGAUGUGGCAGGACCCUUUUUUGAUUUUUCAUGAGUUUCAGUGAACUAGUUUUUGUUGGACAAUCUUACAAGCUAAGAGUAACUAUUAAGUGCCUGGUGCUACAUCGGAAAUAAUGAUUCAUAUUUUUUGAUUAUUUUUAUUUAUUUAUUUAUUUAUUUAUUUGAAAUGCAGCGUGAGACAGAGAUCUUCCCUAUGUUGAUUCAUUCUCCAGAUGCCCACAAUAGCUAGUUUUGGGCCAGGCCAAAGCCAGGAGCCUAGAACUGAAACCAUGUCUCCUCCGUGGGUGCCAGGUACACAACUACUUGAGCCAUCAUCUGCGAUCUUCUAACAUUUAAAUUAUAGGAAGUUGUAUAUGAAGUGGAGCCAAAACUCAAACACAGAGCCUCUGAUGUGGGGUUUAUGUAUCCCAAGCAGUGACUUGACCACUGUGCCAGACCACAACCUUCUUUGAUUAUUUUAAAAAGUAAUGUAUUUUGAUACAGAAAAAGUUGACUACUGUAGAUAAUCAGGCAAUAUUGUUCUGCUUAGCUCUGGCUUUCCAAAAUGUGCAAAUCUCUUUUCUUUUAAUUGAUGUAUUCCCGUUAUUUUAAUUUAAUUUAACACAUGUCCUGGGUCUAAGAAAAGUAAAAGAAUGAGAGUUUUUGAUAUUCAUAUACAUUAAAAACUGUGGCAGCUUACUUACAUGUUACCUGUCGCUUGAAUAUCCAUGGCAAAUAUCUUGUGUAUAUUGCUGCUAUUGCUGGAAUCAAUCUCUCUCUCCAUCUCUCCCUCUCUCUCUCUCUCUAUGGGGUCAGGGAACAAGUUGACAGUAUAGUGGGAAGAGACUUGAUACCAGUGUCCAGAGUUGGUAUUCAAAGAAUAUUUUCAAAUGGAAAUGGUGUUCAAAUGGUAACUGGAUAUCUAUGCUAGACCCAAAUCUAAUUAACUCAAAUAUUAAAAAUUUACUAAUGCUUUAUUUUUCCCAUUUUAUUGUGAACAUAUAGUGGUUAAUCAAUAAAAGAUAGAUGGUGGACUUUCUAAGUGCCUGUAAACUAACAUAAUACUAACUUAAUUAGUAUUUUGGAACCUUCUGCCUACACUCUAACUUUACUCUCCUGAGAUUCUUUUGGUUCAAAGUGAGAAGCAUCUUUGACUUUAGAAAGUAAAUUUAGGAGCCAGUGUUGUGGCACAGCAAACCGAGCUGCUGCUCGUGAGGCCGGCGUUCUGUCUCGCAGUGCUGGUUUGAGUCAUGACCGCUCUGCUUCUCUUCAGCUCUCUGCUAAUGCUCCUGAGAAAGUAGCAGAAGGUGGCCCAAGUACUUAGGCCCCUGCCACUCAUGUGGGAAACCCAGAUGGAGUUCUAGGCUCCUGACUUUGCCCUGGCCCAGCCCUAACUAUUGCAGCCAUUUGGGAAAUGAACCAGCAUAUAGAAGAUCUCUCUGACUCUGUCCUUCUCUCUCUCUCUCUCUCUCUCUCUCUCUCUCUCUCUGUGUGUGUGUGUGUGUGUGUGUAUUUGACUCUCCCUUUCAAAUAAAGAAAUCUUUUUUAAAAAAAUCUUCAGGGGGCUGGUAUUUGGAGCCGUGGUUAAGAUGCCACUUGGGUUGCUAGCAUCACGUAUUGGAAAUCCUGGGUUGAAUUCCAGCUCCACUUCUGAUUCUGGCUUCCUGCUGAUUUACACUAUGGGAGGCAGCAGAUCAUGGCUCGGGUAUUUUGAUCCCUGACACCCAUAUGGGCUACCAGAUUUGAAUUCUGGGUUUCUGGCUUCUGCUUGGCCCAACCCUGGCCAUUGCAGGCAUAUGGGGAGUGAACCAGCAGGUGGAAGAUCUGUUUCUGUCUCUAUCUCUGCCUUUCAACUGAAGUGAAACUAAUAAUUUUUUUUAAAAAAGUAACUUUAGCUUAGGUGAAAUGUUGUUACUUUCUCUUUCAUAUUGAGCUUUCUCCUCCUAAGUCUUUCAAUGCACACUUUUCAUGGAAACUUCUUUGUCCGAGCCACUGACUUGUUAUCCCUUGCCAACAUCAGUCCUGAUGCUGAGUUUGCAGUGCAGUUGUCAAUUGAAGAAAGUUUGACAGAUACUUCCUUAGUGUGCUUUCAAACAGCCCUAUUGUAUACAUCAAGCAAAGGUGAGCAGAGAAUUAGAGUGCAUAUGCUUUGUUUGCCAGUGGUAAGUUCACUAGCAGAUGUAUAUGCAGGAGUGGAUGUUCAAGCUGCCAUCUGCCUUCUAGCAAAUAUGGCUGUGGAUCGAUCAGUGUCAUCAAGUCUGUCAGAUGCAAGAGACGCCUUAGUGAAUGCAGUAGUGGAUUCAUUGUCUGCAUAUGGCUCAAUUGUUUCAAAUUUUCAGCACUCUGCACUGAUUGCACCCAACUUCCUCAAAUUGUUUCCACUCUAUGUUUUGGUACUUCUCAAACAGAAAGCCUUUAGAACAUGUACAAGCACACGCCUAGAUGAUCGUGUGUAUGCCAUGUGUCAGAUAAAGUCUCAGCCACUUGUUCAUCUAAUGAAAAUGAUUCAUCCCAACUUAUACAGGAUAGACAGAUUGACAGAUGAGGGUGCAAUUCAUGUUAAUGACAGGGUUGUACCUCAGCCACCUCUUCAAAAACUGUCUGCAGAGAAGGUGCUUUCCUCAUGGACUGUGGCUCUGUUUUUUACAUUUGGAUUGGAAAAGGCUGUGAAAAUAACUUCAUAGAGGAUGUACUGGGGUGCCCUAAUUUUGCAUCAAUUCCACAGAAAAUGACACAUCUUCCAGAACUAGAUACACUUUCAUCAGAAAGAACCAGAUCUUUUAUAACUUGGCUAAGAGACAACAGACCACUAAGCCCAGUCCUUCAUGUGGUGAAAGAUGAGAGUCCUGCCAAAACAGAAUUUUUUCUGCAUUUGAUUGAAGACCAGACAGAAGCUGCAUUCUCUUAUUAUGAAUUUUUGCUUCACGUUCAGCAGCAAAUUUGUAAGUGAAGUAGAAUAAAAUGGAAUAAGAAAAAGGUUUAUUAUCUAGGUAAAGCAUUAUCUGUUGACGAAGCACACAAGAAAUGUGGAAUGCAGGAGCUUGCUGUUACAUGAUUCAAUGCACUGUACUCUGAGGUCGUGGCAAAAGAUAAAGGCGAAAAGAGAACUUGACAGAUUUUCUUCAGCCUGAAAUAAUGGUAGGGAUGACGCCGUUUUGCCCAGUAUGUUUUGAAUUGGUUUCUAUACAUUUCCAGUAGUGCAGCAGUAUAGUGUUCUCUUUGUUGCCAACGGGCAAAUUGAUACAACUGUGUGGAAUGAUAUGUCCUAAUAUAAAAUUAGAUAAAUUCUUUUGUCUUACUAUUAAUAUAACAUUUUUGGCGUGAAUUCUGACAAAAGAUUCCAAAAAGGCAGCAGGUACCAUGUUAUUUGUUUAUAUGAAUUACUUUUUAACAAGGAAUGAUUCCUAUUCAUUAAAUAAAUUCAGCAUUUUCCCUGUAAAAACAAUAGUUUCAGAACACGAACUAUAGAGAAGCAUAUGUAUAUAUGUAUAAUGUACAUAACUGUUACAUUUGUAAAGAAAGUAUAAAAAUGUAGCUACAGAACAGGAAUUGCUUAUACUGCUCUGGGUUGUUGGAUGACAUCUCUUUUUGUCACGGUUAGAGAAUGUGAUUGACCAAUGCAUAUUCUGCAUUGAGUCCACAAAUGGGACACAAACUCUUUGUAAUUCUGCUAAAUCUUUUAUGAGGAUUUAUUUAUGAUCAGCCUAUUAAUUAAAAAUAUUUUGCUUGACAA